UACGUAGGGCGCAAGCGUUAUCCGGAAUUAUUGGGCGUAAAGAGCUCGUAGGCGGUUUGUCGCGUCUGCCGUGAAAGUCCGGGGCUCAACUCCGGAUCUGCGGUGGGUACGGGCAGACUAGAGUGAUGUAGGGGAGACUGGAAUUCCUGGUGCAGCGGUGAAAUGCGCAGAUAUCAGGAGGAACACCGAUGGCGAAGGCAGGUCUCUGGGCAUUAACUGACGCUGAGGAGCGAAAGCAUGGGGAGCGAACAGG
rnacentral:rRNA from 1 species